rnacentral:tRNA from 3 species
CGCGGCGUGGAGCAGUGGAAGCUCGUCGGGCUCAUAACCCGAAGGUCGCGAGUUCGAAUCUCGCCGCCGCAACCA